GCUAGCUGAGACUCAGAGAACAGUGGAAGAAGAAGAAGAAGGAAACUGAAGCAAAAAAAAUGGAUUUGAAGAUAAUUCUGCAUUUUCUUGAGACAGAUCUAUUGGGAAAGUAGAUGAUGAACACUUGGGAUUGAUGAGUAAAGAGAGAAACCUAUAAACUUUCUCGAGGAUUUUCGUGGGAAAACUUAAAAGAAAGAGUGAAGAAAAAAGCCGAUUAAGGUGGAGGCAAUAAAUGUCCAUCUUUCAUUUCUGAAACUUUUAUAUUUGUUUUUGGGGAGUUUGGUUGUUUGCUCAUUACUGCACAUUGCACAACCUAAGCUUGACAGACUGUUUUUAAUGAAUCCAAGAAGAUGAAAAUCUUUAUUUUAUGUUAAUCUAAUUAUUGUAACAUUAACAACUUAUAUUCCACAUGAUAUUUUGAUAGUGUUUUUUUUUAA